CGGGUAAAACGGGCUAUCAGCAGCCAGGGAGAGAGCUUCAGAAUCAACAAGAUAGUGUUUCGUGACCUGCCUUGGGCGCAAGAGGUCCGCGGUUCGAAUCCGCGCGCCCCGACCA
rnacentral:tRNA from 1 species